rnacentral:rRNA from 1 species
GAUGAACGCUAGCUACAGGCUUAACACAUGCAAGUCGAGGGGUAACGAGAGGAAAGCUUGCUUUCCUUGUCGACGACCGGCGCACGGGUGAGUGACGCGUAUCCAACCUGCCCCCAACUAGGGAAUAACCUUGCGAAAGUAAGACUAAUACCCUAUAAUUUCCUCAGAUGUCAUCUGACGAGGAAUAAAGAUUUAUCGGUUGUGGAUGGGGAUGCGUCUGAUUAGCUUGUUGGCGGGGUAACGACCCACCAAGGCAACGAUCAGUAGGGGUUCUGAGAGGAAGGUCCCCCACAUUGGAACUGAGACACGGUCCAAACUCCUACGGGAGGCAGCAGUGAGGAAUAUUGGUCAAUGGGCGGAAGCCUGAACCAGCCAAGUAGCGUGCAGGAUGACGGCCCUAUGGGUUGUAAACUGCUUUUAUACAGGAAUAAAGUUAGCCACAUGUGGUUAUUUGUAGGUACUGUAUGAAUAAGGACCGGCUAAUUCCGUGCCAGCCGCCGCAGUAA